GCUCAGAAUCAACGCUGGCGGCGUGCCUAACACAUGCAAGUCGAACGAGAAAGUGGAGCAAUCCAUGAGUACAGUGGCGCACGGGUGAGUAACACGUGACUAACCUACCCUUGAGUGGGGGAUAACUGAGGGAAACCUUAGCUAAUACCGCAUAAUACCUACGGGUCAAAGGAGCAAUUCGCUUUAGGAGGGGGUCGCGGCCGAUUAGUUAGUUGGCGGGGUAAUGGCCCACCAAGACGAUGAUCGGUAUCCGGCCUGAGAGGGCGCACGGACACACUGGAACUGAAACACGGUCCAGACUCCUACGGGAGGCAGCAGUGGGGAAUUUUGCGCAAUGGGGGAAACCCUGACGCAGCAACGCCGCGUGGAGGAUGAAGUCCUUCGGGACGUAAACUCCUUUCGAUCGGGACGAUUAUGACGGUACCGGAAGAAGAAGCCCCGGCUAACUUCGUGCCAGCAGCCGCGGUAAUACGAGGGGGGCGAGCGUUGUUCGGAAUUAUUGGGCGUAAAGGGUGCGUAGGCGGUUUGGUAAGUCUGAUGUGAAAUCUAUGGGCUCAACUCAUAGUCUGCAUCGGAAACUGCCGGGCUUGAGUAUGGGAGAGGUGAGUGGAAUUCCUGGUGUAGCGGUGAAAUGCGUAGAUAUCAGGAGGAACACCUGUGGCGAAAGCGGCUCACUGGACCAUAACUGACGUUGAUGCACGAAAGCUAGGGGAGCAAACAGGAUUAGAUACCCUGGUAGUCCUAGCCCUAAACGAUGACUGCUUGGUGUGACGGGUACCCAAUCCCGCCGUGCCGUAGCUAACGCGUUAAGCAGUCCGCCUGGGGAGUACGGUCGCAAUGCUGAAAC
rnacentral:rRNA from 1 species